rnacentral:rRNA from 1 species
GAUGAACGCUGGCGGCGUGCCUAAUACAUGCAAGUCGAGCGAACGGACGAGAAGCUUGCUUCUCUGAUGUUAGCGGCGGACGGGUGAGUAACACGUGGAUAACCUACCUAUAAGACUGGGAUAACUUCGGGAAACCGGAGCUAAUACCGGAUGAUAUUUUGAACCGCAUGGUUCAAAAGUGAAAGACGGUCUUGCUGUCACUUAUAGAUGGAUCCGCGCUGCAUUAGCUAGUUGGUAAGGUAACGGCUUACCAAGGCAACGAUGCAUAGCCGACCUGAGAGGGUGAUCGGCCCCACUGAACCUGGACCACGUUCCGACCUCCUCCGGAAGGCAGCAGUAGGAAUUCUUCCGCAAUGGGCGAAACCCUGACGGAGCAACGCGGCGGGAGUGAUGAAGGUCUUCGGAUCGUAAAACUCUGUUAUUAGGGAAGAACAUAUGUGUAAGUACCUGUGCACAUCUUGACGGUACCUAAUCAGAAAGCCCCGGCUAACUACGU